AACGAACGCUGGCGGCAGGCCUAACACAUGCAAGUCGAGCGGACCCUUCGGGGUUAGCGGCGGACGGGUCAGUAACGCGUGGGAACGUGCCCAAAGGUACGGAAUAGCCUCGGGAAACUGAGAGUAAUACCGUAUGUGCCCCUCGGGGGAAAGAUUUAUCGCCUUUGGAUCGGCCCGCGUUGGAUUAGGUAGUUGGUGGGGUAAUGGCCUACCAAGCCGACGAUCCAUAGCUGGUUUGAGAGGAUGAUCAGCAACACUGGGACUGAGACACGGCCCAGACUCCUACGGGAGGCAGCAGUGGGGAAUCUUAGACAAUGGGGGAAACCCUGAUCUAGCCAUGCCGCGUGGACGAUGAAGGCCUUAGGGUUGUAAAGUCCUUUCAGCUGGGAAGAUAAUGACGGUACCAGCAGAAGAAGCCCCGGCUAACUCCGUG
rnacentral:rRNA from 1 species